CGCGGCUUUGUGCAGCGCGUGUUGUACUUUUUAGCAUUUUAAAACGAAAAAUCAGUUUAAAUAAAAGCCAAUUUUAAUGAUGAAUUAUAAAAAUUUAUUGACCAACGAUUGAAUGUGCUUUUUGCAAGCACAGUGUUGGCGCUUCAAGUAAGUUUCUGCCCUAUCAACUUUGGACUGUAGUGUAGAGGACUACAGUGGUUUUCACGGGUACGGAGAAUCGGGGUUUGACUCCGGAGAAGGAGCCUGAGAAACGGCUGCUACUUCUAAGGAAGGCAGCAGGCGCGCAAAUUUCCCAAUGCCGACGCGGUGAGGAAGUGACAAAAAAUAUCAACGCAGGUCGAAGCAUUCGACUUGCGAUUGAAAUGAGAACAAGCCAAAGCGCUUAUCGAGUAGCCACUGGAGGGCAAGUCUGGUGCCAGCAGCCGCGGUAACUCCAGCUCCAGGAACGUGUGUUAAUGUUGUUGCAGUUAAAAAGCUCGUAGUUGGAUUUUAUGAAAUUUUUAGAAUUUAGGAAAUUAUUUUUGAUUUUUUAAAUUUUAAAUUUUCAUUUUAUUUAUUUUUAAUAAUCAUCACUUCGCUGGUGAUUGAUUAGAAAUAAUUUUACUUUGAGAAAAUGAGAGUGCUUAAAUCAGUCGAAAUUUACAAAAAUUCGGACUUUGUAUCAUACAGCAUGGGAUAAUAGAACAAGAUCUUUCGUAUCACGUUUCCAAUUGGUUUUUGGUUUUAGAUUUGCGAGAAGAUAAUGAUUAAAAGAAACGGGCGGGGGUACUGGUAUUCACAUGUCAGAGGUGAAAUUCGUGGAUUUUGUGAGGACCGACCUAUGCGAAAGCGUCUGCCUAGGACGUUUUCAUUAAUCAAGAACGAAAGUUUGGGGAUCGAAGAUGAUCAGAUACCGUCGUAGUCCAAACCAUAAACGAUGCCGGCUAGGAAUUUAGAGAAAGUAAAACAAUGGUGAAGUUCUUCACUAAUAUAUGCUUCCCUAAGCAUCUUCAUGAGAAAUCAUAAGCUUUUGGGUUCUGGGGGGAGUAUGGUCGCAAGGCUGAAACUUAAAAGAAUUGACGGAAGGGCACCACCAGGCGUGGAGCUUGCGGCUUAAUUUGACCCAACACGGGAAAACUUACCAGGUCCAGGCAUGAGAAGGAUUGACAGAUUGAGAGCUCUUUCAUGAUUUUAUGGGUGGUGGUGCAUGGCCGUUCUUAGUUGGUGGAGUGAUUUGUCUGGUUGAUUCCGUUAACGAACGAGACCUCCGCAUAUUAAUUAGUAUUAUG
rnacentral:rRNA from 1 species